GGGCCCGUAGUCGAGUGGCUAAGACGCUUCGUUUACGCCGAAGAGACCCGGAGUUCGAUUCGAGCAGGACGUUGUUUUGCAACCGUUCGCUUUGCGAAUAUCUCCGCGGGCCCA
rnacentral:tRNA from 1 species